UAAUUCCUACGGGGCGCAGCAGUGGGGAAUAUUGCACAAUGGGGGAAACCCUGAUGCAGCAACGCCGCGUGAAGGAAGACGGUUUUCGGAUUGUAAACUUCUGUUCUUAGUGAAUAAUAAUGACGGUAGCUAAGGAGCAAGCCACGGCUAACUACGUGCCAGCAGCCGCGGUAAUACGUAGGUGGCAAGCGUUGUCCGGAAUUACUGGGUGUAAAGGGAGCGCAGGCGGGAAGCCAAGUCGGCUGUGAAAACUACGGGCUUAACUUGUAGACUGCGGUUGAAACUGGUUUUCUUGAGUGAAGUAG
rnacentral:rRNA from 1 species